UACAUGGGGUGCAAACGUUGCUCGGAAUUAUUGGGCGUAAAGCGCGCGUAGGCGGUUAUCUAAGUCGGAUGUGAAAGCCCUCGGCUUAACUGAGGAAGUGCACCCGAAACUGGAUAGCUAGAGUACGAAAAGGGGGGUCGCGGAAUUCCCCGGUGUAGAGGUGAAAUUCGUAGAUAUCGGGAGGAACACCGGUGGCGAAGGCGGCGACCUGGGUCGAGACUGACGCUGAGGCGCGAAAAGCGUGGGGGAGCAAAACAGGG
rnacentral:rRNA from 1 species